rnacentral:rRNA from 1 species
UUGGAGGGCAAGUCUGGUGCCAGCAGCCGCGGUAAUUCCAGCUCCAAUAGCGUAUAUUAAAGUUGUUGCAGUUAAAAAGCUCGUAGUUGAAUUCCGGGAUUGACGUGAUGGUCAUGCCUUAAGGGGUAUGAACUGUUACAGUUGAUUUCUCACCUUCUGGAGAAACUUGAUGUCCUUUAUUGGGUGUCUUGCGGAUCCAGGACCUUUACCUUGAAAAAAUUAGAGUGUUUAAAGCAGGCAUUUUUGCUCGAAUACAUUAGCAUGGAAUAAUAGAAUAGGACGGCAUGGUCCUAUUUUGUUGGUUUCUAGGAUCACCGUAAUGAUUAAUAGGGAUAGUUGGGGGCAUUAGUAUUCAAUUGUCAGAGGUGAAAUUCUUGGAUUUAUUGAAGACUUAACUACUGCGAAAGCAUUUGCCAAGGAUGUUUUCAUUAAUCAAGAACGAAAGUUAGGGGAUCGAAGACGAUCAGAUACCGUCGUAGUCUUAACCAUAAACUAUGCCGACUAGGAAUCAGACGAUGUUAAUUUUUUAAUGACUCGUUUGGCGCCUUACGGGAAACCAAAGUGUUUGGGUUC